GCUUAACACAUGCAAGUCGAGCGAGAAAGCCCUUCGGGGUGAGUAGAGCGGCGGACGGGUGAGUAACGCGUAGGAAUCUACCCAGUAGCGGGGGAUAGCCCGGAGAAAUCCGGAUUAAUACCGCAUACGCCCUACGGGGGAAAGCAGGGGAUCUUCGGACCUUGCACUAUUGGAUGAGCCUGCGUUGGAUUAGCUUGUUGGUGAGGUAAAGGCUCACCAAGGCGACGAUCUAUAGCUGGUCUGAGAGGAUGAUCAGCCACACUGGGACUGAGACACGGCCCAGACUCCUACGGGAGGCAGCAGUGGGGAAUAUUGGACAAUGGGCGCAAGCCUGAUCCAGCCAUGCCGCGUGUGUGAAGAAGGCCUUAGGGUUGUAAAGCACUUUCAGUGGGGAGGAAAUUCUGGUGAUUAAUACUUUCCGGAUUUGACGUUACCCACAGAAGAAGGACCGGCUAAAUCAGUGCCAGCAGCCGCGGUAAUACUGAGGGUGCAAGCGUUAAUCGGAAUUACUGGGCGUAAAGCGCACGUAGGCGGCUUUUUAAGCUAGAUGUGAAAGCCCUGGGCUCAACCUGGGAACUGCAUUUAGAACUGGAAGGCUAGAGUAUGGUAGAGGAGUGUGGAAUUUCAGGUGUAGCGGUGAAAUGCGUAGAGAUCUGAAGGAACAUCAGUGGCGAAGGCGACACUCUGGACCAAUACUGACGCUGAGGUGCGAAAGCGUGGGUAGCAAACAGGAUUAGAUACCCUGGUAGUCCACGCCGUAAACGAUGUCUACUAGCCGUUGGGUUCCUUGAGGACUUAGUGGCGCAGCUAACGCAUUAAGUAGACCGCCUGGGGAGUACGGCCGCAAGGUUAAAACUCAAAUGAAUUGACGGGGGCCCGCACAAGCGGUGGAGCAUGUGGUUUAAUUCGACGCAACGCGAAGAACCUUACCACCCCUUGACAUCCUCAGAACUUGUUAGAAAUAACUUGGUGCCUUCGGGAAUUGAGUGACAGGUGCUGCAUGGCUGUCGUCAGCUCGUGUCGUGAGAUGUUGGGUUAAGUCCCGUAACGAGCGCAACCCUUGUCCUUAUUUGCCAGCACGUAAUGGUGGGAACUCUAAGGAGACUGCCGGUGACAAACCGGAGGAAGGUGGGGACGACGUCAAGUCAUCAUGGCCCUUACGGGGUGGGCUACACACGUGCUACAAUGGCCGGUACAAAGGGUUGCCAAGCCGCGAGGUGGAGCUAAUCCCAGAAAACUUAUCGUAGUCCGGAUUGGAGUCUGCAACUCGACUCCAUGAAGUCGGAAUCGCUAGUAAUCGUGAAUCAGAAUGUCACGGUGAAUACGUUCCCGGGCCUUGUACACACCGCCCGUCACACCAUGGGAGUGGGUUGCACCAGAAGUAGUUAGCCUAACCUUCGGGGGGACGAUUACCACGGUGUGGUUCAUGACUGGGGUGAAGUCGUAACAAGGUAGCCCUAGGGGAACCUGGGGCUGGAUCACCUCCUUA
rnacentral:rRNA from 1 species